GAGCCUGCGAGUCAGCGGCAUGUCGCGAGGUUAACCCACGUGUGGGGUAGUCGUAGCGAAAGCGAAUCCGAAAUGGGUGUUGUUAGUGGCAUGUCCUGGACCCGAAGCGGGGUGAUCUACCCAUGGCCAGUGUGAAGCAGCUGUAAGAGGUUGUGGAGGCGCGAACCCACUUAGGUUAAAAACUGAGGGGAUGAGCUGUGGGUAGGGGUGAAAGGCCAAUCAAACUCCGUGAUAGCUGGUUCUCCCCGAAAUGCAUUUAGGUGCAGCGUCAC
rnacentral:rRNA from 1 species